rnacentral:rRNA from 1 species
UACGAGAGGCCCAAACGUUAUUCGGAAUUACUGGGCUUAAAGAGUUCGUAGGCGGCGCAGAAAGUAGGGUGUGAAAGCCCUCGGCUCAACCGAGGAAUUGCGCUCUAAACUACUGUGCUUGAGGAACCUAGAGGUGAGCAGAACUGAUGGUGGAGCGGUGAAAUGCGUUGAUAUCAUCAGGAAUACCGGAGGCGAAGGCGGCUCACUGGGGGUUAUCUGACGCUGAGGAACGAAAGCCAGGGGAGCGAACGGG